UGGUAUUUUUUUUCUGAGUUUAUGUGCCGUGUCAUUUAGUGAGAGGUUUUAUUUGCCCGGUGUUGUUUCGGUGUUAAGGUCUUAUCAACGCGACUAUAUUAUACUGUCACGGUCGCGAUAAAAUUUCCAUUAGCACUUAUAUAUUCGCAUAUUAUGGUUUUAAUGUUGGUGCACACAUCGCUAUUUUUGCAUAGAUCAUACA